rnacentral:tRNA from 1 species
GGGCGCGUAGCUCAGUUGGUUGGAGCGCUGCCUCGACACGGCAGAGGUCACAAGUUCGAGUCUUGUCGCGCCCA